rnacentral:lncRNA from 1 species
UUUGCCAAAAAAGAAAAAAAAAAUGACAAAACCUAUUCCAUUUCAACAGUCUCCGGCCUGCUAAAUCUCUCCAGUUAACAAUAGUUAACAAAAUCGCCGUGGCCUGCGGCAAUCUUCACCGUGCCACAGCUCCGACGAUCUUUUUCCCAAUUCACAGGUAAUUUUCUCUUCUUCCCCAGGCAAAUUUUGCGAAAAUUGUUGUCAAUAUUCUCCCUCUCAUCUGUCUUCCCCAAAUUUUGCAAAAUUACAUGAUGUAAUGUCAUUCCCAUAGUGAUCACCAAAUAAAAAAGUUGAUCCUAGUGUUGGAUUGACUAGGUAUAAAUAGUUAAGCUUCCAAAAAAUGAGGGAGCACAAGUGCAUAACUCCUUUUUUCUUUGUCCCUUGGCCUGUUAAUCCUCCAUGAAUUGACUGAUUUUAGUAAGUAGGAAAACUUCUAAACACUAUAAAGUAUUUUCUCUAAACACUUGUGUAUUUGUUGGUUUCAAUUGAUUUUGUGAUGUAUUUAAGUGAGCCGUCAAUACUAUUGAUAAACUUGAUACUUGCGCAUAUUUCUGUUUAACACUGUUGUCAGUGUGUCCAAAAUGGGCAUAGUUAAUCCACAAAACAUCUCAAUUCCAUUGAAAAGAGAGCUUGUGGGUAGCCUUUCAUAGUUAAAAUUUAUUUAGUGGGAGAAAUUCUUCUCUAGUGUCUUAUAAACCAUAAGCUUAAUUUGGGUAGCCUUCUGAUAUUUUAUAUGACCAAAAGGAAUUAUAUAGUGCAGGACUAUCUGUAGAGAUUUAAUGAGCCUAGCUUGUUACUGUAGAUCUUAGGAUGCUUGCAAACAUGGUCUGUCAUAAAGUGAAUUUCUAGAGGAAAAGCUAUUUCAUAUUAAUAUUGACUCACCUCUGGUUUCUUAAAUAUCGAUUCAUCAGGGGGAAAAAACCAUGUAGGAUGGCAGAUCACAUCGUAAUAUUGCCUGCAUAAUUGAUAGAAUUAAUCAGCAGGAUGAAUGAUGAGUCACAGGUACAUAUCAUAGGAAAAAACUGCAUACUAGAUCCUUGCUUAGUCUAGCCAGCUCCGCAUUGCAUAGCAAUACCUGAACCAAUUUCUCUGGCAACCAACAUGGUCUUGCCUAUACCUUGUGUUAUGAUAUUGGACAAAAAGAAGAAAAUUGACACCUAAGGCUUGGAGAAGAGGAGGAGAGAGGACAAGGGGAGUUCAAUAAUUCUCUAUUACAUAAGCACACAAGAUGUAGGAAAUUUUAUUUAUAUUUGAUAAUUUCAAAUAUUAUACACGGGGAAUGAAAAGAUGGACUAUCCCAUAUUUAGUGGAUUUGGUUAUUUUUGCAUAGAUACAUUCACUAAAACAAAUCAAAAAAGCCUUUGAAAGAUGUUUCAUUUAGUAAAUGGUGUAAAGGAAUGCUGUAAAAUUGCAUGAUUUCUAUUAUGAAGUAGGUUCUGGAAUAAGUAAUUGUCCGUGUUCUCUGAGUAUACUCUAGUCUUAGAUGUUUCAUUGUUUCAUCUUAUUACUAUUUUUACUGUGCAUAAACUAAAGUUUUAUCAUGAUAUUGUUAACAAAUGAGACAAUUCUUGCGCAAAUAUGCUCCUAAUGUAUCUAUGACUCAAAGUAGCAAUGGCACCUCAUGUGCACAGGUAACUCUAUUACAUAAGCUUUAGGCAUUUUUAAUGAAAUUCCGAUCAAUAAAAGUAUUGUUAUCUAACAUGUUAAGAAUAAACUCCAGAUCUUUCAUGUUUGAUGGCUAUGCAAGCACAAAUGGUCUACUAACUCUGGGGACCUACAGAAAAAGAAUCUGCUACAGUAGUUGAAGCCACUUCUCUGGGCCUAUCAUGAGUUAAACAACAUUGUGAGCACACUGGCUCGUGGAGAU